CAAGGCAUGGCAUGUGAUGUAGGUCAGGGAAUCUUCUUACAAGCCGCUUCCCAAGACUUUUCUUGAUGUAGGCAAAGGAACAGCUCUGCCGACCCUCCAUUUCUCAUCCCAAAGUCACCCCUUCAAUUCACCUUAUAAAGCAUAGCCAUCUGCCCAAUCUCUGAACACAACCAAUGGAUCUGAUAAAUGAUCUAAUUGGAUCACGUAAUGGGUUUUUCAUUUUUGUGUAAGGUGGCUUUUGGAUUUGUGGUGUUCACAGAUUAGGGUUUUCAAGGAGCUGACUCUGGAUCUGGGUAUUUGUAAGUGGUAUUCGUAAGGUUUUGGGGUGGAGCUCCUUGAAGUCCAAUGGAGGUUCUUACUGGUUAGAUUGAGCUGCUGAACUAUGGAUUCCACAGCCCUAUCUUUAUAUUUAAAGAGUUUUAGAUAGGAUUGCGGUGUGCAUAUUUCAGGAGCUGCAUUAUCCAUGUUAGAUCCUUGUUUGGAUUGAAGGGAGCUCUACAGUACUAUCUCUGUUUUUCUCCUUUCUUUCUUAAGCUCCUUCUGACAUUUUUAUGCAACUAGUAGAACAAGUUCUCCUUCAUGAAACCACUUGCAGAAUGAACAUAUUAUCUGAUAAUUUAUUUCUUUAUGCUUAUGGAUGAAGCUUUCAUCUCUUUCUUUUUCUUCUUAAAAGUUGAGAGUUUCCAUGGUGUACAUAUUUUUUUUUUUUUCUUUUUCCCUUUCUGAUGGGAGGGCUACGAGCUACUUUGGAGCUGAAGAUCAAACUGGAAGCCAAAGAGGCUUCAGAUCGGUCUUAUUAUUUAUGUUAUUACUUCCUUCACCUGUUGACUUGCAUCACUCUUGGAUCUAUUUUUUAGGGUUUGAUUUGAAAAUCCUAAAAAAUCAACCUAUAGAUCUUGGUUGAGGUUUGAAAAGCCUUUGUGAAUGAGAUGCUGACUUGGGUCUCACGCCACUUUAGAAUUUACCUUGUUCAAGCGGCUUCUGUGUGGAAGAUUGAGACUACCCUAGCUUCAGAAACACCUUCAAAUCCAUGUCCACUGUGAGGUUCAGAAUUUUUCAUUCUUGAUUCUAGUCAAAAUGUUUCGUGGCUUCUGUUUACUAAGGGUGGAAUCGAAUUGAAUUAUGAUCACUGGAUCUAUUUUGGCAGUCAUAUAACAUACCUUCCCUGUGAAAAAUGUCUUCUUUUUUGAUAAAGGAAGGAAACCUGCUACUUAUUGGGUAUGUCAUGUACCCAUAGCUUUUUCUUCUUCCUGUGUUGAUGAAUUGCAGACUUACAGUUGAACUGAUGGGUUCUUCUGAAAUCGUAUCGGAUUGUCAGGUAAAUGUUUCUAUGCCAUUUAAGGACUGGAAUAGUUACUAGAGCCAUUUAAAGACUGGAAUAGUUACUAGAUUUGGAGUCUUUCAUAGCUGGUUUUGUUGCUUGGGUUUACGAGUGCAAAUGUAGGGUUUGAACUUGGAACAUAAGUGGGUAACUGUGAAGCCUGGAAGACAUGAACUCUCACAGGUUUGGAGCUGGAGCCUGGGGCUGGAGUUGAAGCCAGGCAUUGAUUUUUUUGUGGUGGUCAACGGUAUCCCGAAUGGUGGUCUUGUAAUAGUUGUGUUAAAACUUUCAUUCGGACAGGAGAGAUGAUGAGGAGGCGAAGGGAAGCAUAAUAUUAUUAUUGGCAAUACCGCUUCUCUCCCUUUGGCUUUGUUUGGUUAAAGGGGAAUGUAAAUUUUUUAUGUGAGGUGGAAUUUUUUUCUCGGCAAGGGAAAUGCAUGUGAAAAUAAAUUUCAUGUGACCACUAAAAUUUUUCCUUUUAUUUUCCAUCAAAAUAGUAAGAAAAAAAAACCCCUACUCUCAUGAUCGAUCUCUCUCUCUCUUAUUCAUGACUCUCGACGGUCUCUUUUCAUGUAACUUUUGGAAUGGGCCUUUCAGUUGUCACUUGUGAUGUAGUGAUCUAUUAGUUUUUUUUUUUGUGAUCA